CCUGCGGAAGGAUCAUUAACGAACUCUCGAAGGACGCGCUCGCUGCUGGGCUUCUCAGAAGUCAACGUGCACACGCUCUUUCCUCUCGUUCAACCMAUCUACCCCUAUCUGUGCACCCCUCGUAGGCUGAGAUCUCUUAGCUUAUGUUCUUUCCACAAACCAUCCUUUAAAUAUAUCAGCGAAUGGGCAGCCGUUCGAGCCUCGUCUCGACGCAGCAARAUAUAACACAACUUUCAACAACGGAUCUCUUGGCUCUCGCAUCGAUGAAGAACGCAGCGAAAUGCGAUAAGUAAUGUGAAUUGCAGAAUUCAGUGAAUCAUCGAAUCUUUGAACGCACCUUGCGCCCCUUGGUACUCCGAGAGGCAUGCCUGUUUGAGUGUCAUUGAACCAUCAAACCCGAGUGGCUUUCGAGCUUUAUCGGAGUUUUGGAGCUUGCGGGUUGUGCGGAAGGAAGGGCUCUUCGGGGGCCCCCUCCUCCGCUCCUCGCGGAAUACAUCAGCAGAUGUCCACUUGCGGGUCCAGCCUUGGCGUGAUAACUGUCUUACGUCYUGGCCUUGGGUCGCGUGUCCCUUGGCUUCUGCUUCGAACAGUCGCACGUUCUYGCGACAGAUGGAUUGACAAAUUUGACCUCAAAUCAGGUAGGA
rnacentral:rRNA from 1 species